rnacentral:snRNA from 1 species
AGAAGUGAUCUGGCUGCAACAUUUGCCACCCCACUGAUCGCCAGGGUUGAUUCAGCUGAUCUGGCUGGCUAGGUGGGUGUCCCCUUCCUCCCUCACCACUCUAUGUGUGUCGCUUCUGAAGCUGAGCACUCUGUCAAAGAGAAUGACCUUCCCCUAAUAGAAGAGGACCGGUCUUCGGUCAAGGGUAUACGAGUAGCUGCACUCCCCUGCUAGAACCUCCAAAUAAGCUCUCAAGAAAAAAUGGCACAUUGAAUCUUGUAGAAAAAAUUGUUAACUUGGAACAGAUCAUU